GACGAACUGUACGAACGCUAUUCGGAAUUACUGGGCUUAAAGGGUGCGUAGGCGGCGCAGUAAGUUGGGUGUGAAAUCCCUCGGCUUAACCGAGGAAUUGCGCCCAAAACUACUGUGCUCGAGGGAGAUAGAGGUGAGCGGAACUUAGGGUGGAGCGGUGAAAUGCGUUGAUAUCCUAAGGAACACCGGUGGCGAAAGCGGCUCACUGGAUCUCUUCUGACGCUGAGGCACGAAAGCCAGGGGAGCAAACGGG
rnacentral:rRNA from 1 species